rnacentral:rRNA from 1 species
UACGUAGGGGGCAAGCGUUGUCCGGAAUCAUUGGGCGUAAAGCGCGCGCAGGCGGUCCUUUAAGUCUGAUGUGAAAGCCCACGGCUCAACCGUGGAGGGUCAUUGGAAACUGGGGGACUUGAGUGCAGGAGAGAAGAGUGGAAUUCCACGUGUAGCGGUGAAAUGCGUAGAGAUGUGGAGGAACACCAGUGGCGAAGGCGACUCUUUGGCCUGUAACUGACGCUGAGGCGCGAAAGCGUGGGGAGCAAACAGG